AUUGAACGCUGGCGGCAUGCCUUACACAUGCAAGUCGAACGGCAGCAUGGGUGCUUGCACCUGAUGGCGAGUGGCGAACGGGUGAGUAAUGCAUCGGAACGUACCCGGAAGUGGGGGAUAACGUAGCGAAAGUUACGCUAAUACCGCAUAUUCUGUGAGCAGGAAAGCGGGGGAUCGCAAGACCUCGCGCUUCCGGAGCGGCCGAUGUCGGAUUAGCUAGUUGGCGGGGUAAAGGCCCACCAAGGCAACGAUCCGUAGCGGGUCUGAGAGGAUGAUCCGCCACACUGGGACUGAGACACGGCCCAGACUCCUACGGGAGGCAGCAGUGGGGAAUUUUGGACAAUGGGCGCAAGCCUGAUCCAGCCAUGCCGCGUGAGUGAAGAAGGCCUUCGGGUUGUAAGCUCUUUCGGCUGGGAAGAAUCGCAUCUCCUAAUACGGGUGUGGAUGACGGUACCAGCAUAAGAAGCACCGGCUAACUACGUCGCCACG
rnacentral:rRNA from 1 species